GCUUGUCUCAAAGAUUAAGCCAUGCAUGUGUAAGUAUCAGAAGUCUGAACUUCAAAACUGCGAAUGGCUCAUUAUAUCAGUUAUAGUUUAUUUGAUAGUACCUUACUACUUGGAUAACCGUAGUAAUUCUAGAGCUAAUACAUGCAUGAACCCCCGACUUUUGAAGGGGUGUAUUUAUUAGAUUGAAACCAAUGCGGGUUCCCCGGUAUUUGGUGAUUCAUAAUAACUUUCGGAUCGACUUCGGUCGAUGCAUCAUUCAAGUUUCUGCCCUAUCAGCUUUGGAUGGUAGGGUAUUGGCCUACCAUGGCUUUAACGGGUAACGGAGAAUUAGGGUUCGAUUCCGGAGAGGGAGCCUGAGAAAUGGCUACCACAUCCAAGGAAGGCAGCAGG
rnacentral:rRNA from 1 species